CUCUGAUGACAGUGCUAAGAUUGGUAGAUAUAGAAUUGUUUGAUUGUUUGUAUUGUUGCUUUUUUGUUAUCACUCUGUAUCAGUAAACUCACCUAUUAUCAGCUGACAGGUAUAGUGGUUGGGCUGAGGAA